rnacentral:rRNA from 1 species
CAUGCGNGNUUAGAAUGCAAGUCGCACGGGGAUAUUUUGGUAGUAAUACUUGAAUAUUCUAGUGGCGCACGGGUGAGUAACACGUGAAUUACAUGCCCUUCAGUGGGGAAUAGCCCAGGGAAACUUGGAUUAAUACCCCAUGGUAUCGCAAGAUUAAAGGUGGCCGCAAGGCUGUCGCUGAAGGAUUGGUUCGCGCCCUAUCAGCUUGUUGGCGAGGUAACGGCUCACCAAGGCUACGACGGGUACCUGGUUUGAGAGGACGAUCAGGCACACUGGAACUGAGACACGGUCCAGACACCUACGGGUGGCAGCAGUCGAGAAUAAUUCACAAUGGGGGCAACCCUGAUGGUGCAACGCCGCGUGGAGGAUGACGGUCUUCGGAUUGUAAACUCCUGUCAUCCGGGAGUAGGACCUGGCAGUUAAUAGCUGACAGGGUUGAUAGUACCGGAAGAGGAAGGGACGGCUAACUUCGUGCCAGCAGCCGCGGUAAUACGAAGGUCCCGAGCGUUGUUCGGAAUCACUGGGCGUAAAGGGAGCGUAGGCGGCGUGGUAAGUCAGAUGUGAAAUCCCGGGGCUCAACCCCGGAACUGCAUCCGAUACUGCCGUGCUAGAGUGAUGGAGAGGUAGCUGGAAUUCUUGGUGUAGCAGUGAAAUGCGUAGAUAUCAAGAGGAACACUCGUGGCGAAAGCGAGCUACUGGACAUUUACUGACGCUGAGGCUCGAAGGCCAGGGUAGCGAAGGGGAUUAGAUACCCCUGUAGUCCUGGCAGUAAACGGUGCACGCUUGGUGUGAGGGGAAUCGACCCCCCUUGUGCCGGAGCUAACGCGUUAAGCGUGCCGCCUGGGAAAGU